CGUUUCGGAGCACAGGCUCCGGACGUGCAGACUCAGCGUCCAUGGCUCACGGGCUCAGCCGCUCUGCAGCAUGUGGGAUCUUCCCAGACCGGGGCACGAACCCGCGUCCCCUGCAUCGGCAGGCGGACUCUCAACCACUGCGCCACCAGGGAAGCCCUGUAUUCUCUCUUUUCAAGUUAGAGUUUCCCCACGUGGCAAGUGAGAAUGGGGCUUCCUCACCUGUUUCACCGAAGGGAAAGUCAAGACAUUAAAGAGUGAUCUGCCCACAGUUCCCUUAUUUAGCAGACACGCAUGGAGCACCGACUCUCUGCCGCGGUCUCUGCAAGCACAGGGCGUUCAGGAGAAAGCAAACCAAAGGGCCUGUCCCCAGGAAGCUUGCAUUCUAGUGGGGAACACCAACAACAAAUAAAUACGUCAAAAUAUGUCAGCAUAUGUCAUAUGCUAUUCAGAUGGAUAAAGUAGGGAGGGGGAGAGUGAUUGACAGGAUGGGGAGAGUGUUGUUGUUUCACACAGUUGGUUCUGGAAGGCCCUGCAGAGGAGGUGACGUCAAAGAAGAGAUCUGAUAUAUAUGUGAGGCUAGGGUGUUCCAGGCCAUGUGACAAUGUCAUAACCACACUGAGUGCCCUCAAUCUUUUCUGUCUCUACCGCUGGCUCCCUGCAGCGAGGCAGGGACUCUUUGAAAAAAAGGAUGACAACUACUCAUCUUUGGGUCUUCGGUUCUGAUGGCGGUUCAGAUGCUAUUGGCAUGUUUCCACCUCCACCUCCAGAAGGGCUCGUGUGAUACUGAAUGCCCAGUCCAGGAACAGUGCCUGGAAUAGAGGAGAAUGUUUCUGACUGACUGCGUUGCAGAUAGAAUGCGCGAUUAGAAGCCUGCAGCUGGAGGUCAAGGUUCUAAAGCACAGAGGGGUUAAGUGAUUUAGCUGAGGUCACACAGCUAAUAAUUGGCAGAGCCAGAAUGAGUAUUUUUAAUAUAAAAAAGGACAGAGCUUUCCAGGAAAUGCCACCCUGAUGG